rnacentral:rRNA from 1 species
AGGUAAGCUACUAAGAGCGAAUGGUGGAUGCCUUGACUGGUAAAGGCGAUGAAGGACGUACUAGACUGCGAUAAGCUACGGGGAGCUGUCAAGAAGCUUUGAUCCGUAGAUUUCCGAAUGGGGCAACCCAAUGUAUAGAGAUAUACAUUACCUAUAUAGGAGCGAACGAGGGGAAUUGAAACAUCUUAGUACCCUCAGGAAAAGAAAUCAAUAGAGAUUGCGUCAGUAGCGGCGAGCGAAAGCGCAAGAGGGCAAACCCAGUGCUUGCACUGGGGGUUGUAGGACUGCAAUGUGCAAGAGCUGAGUUUAGCAGAACAUUCUGGAAAGUAUAGCCAUAGAGGGUGAUAGUCCCGUAUGCGAAAAACAAAGCUUAGCUAGCAGUAUCCUGAGUAGGGCGGGACACGAGGAAUCCUGUCUGAAUCCGGGUCGACCACGAUCCAACCCUAAAUACUAAUACCAGAUCGAUAGUGCACAAGUACCGUGAGGGAAAGGUGAAAAGAACUGAGGUGAUCAGAGUGAAAUAGAACCUGAAACCAUUUGCUUACAAUCAUUCAGAGCCCUAUGUAGCAAUACAGGGUGAUGGACUGCCUUUUGCAUAAUGAGCCUGCGAGUUGUGGUGUCUGGCAAGGUUAAGCAAACGCGAAGCCGUAGCGAAAGCGAGUCUGAAUAGGGCGCUUAGUCAGAUGCUGCAGACCCGAAACGAAGUGAUCUAUCCAUGAGCAAGUUGAAGCUAGUGUAAGAAUUAGUGGAGGACUGAACCCAUAGGCGUUGAAAAGCCCCGGGAUGACUUGUGGAUAGGGGUGAAAGGCCAAUCAAACUUCGUGAUAGCUGGUUCUCUCCGAAAUAUAUUUAGGUAUAGCGUUGUGUCGUAAUAUAAGGGGGUAGAGCACUGAAUGGGCUAGGGCAUACACCAAUGUACCAAACCCUAUCAAACUCCGAAUACCUUAUAUGUAAUCACAGCAGUCAGGCGGCGAGUGAUAAAAUCCGUCGUCAAGAGGGAAACAACCCAGACUACCAGCUAAGGUCCCUAAAUCUUACUUAAGUGGAAAACGAUGUGAAGUUACUUAAACAACCAGGAGGUUGGCUUAGAAGCAGCCAUCCUUUAAAGAAAGCGUAAUAGCUCACUGGUCUAGUGAUUUUGCGCGGAAAAUAUAACGGGGCUAAAGUAAGUACCGAAGCUGUAGACUUAGUUUACUAAGUGGUAGGAGAGCGUUCUAUUUGCGUCGAAGGUAUACCGGUAAGGAGUGCUGGAGCGAAUAGAAGUGAGCAUGCAGGCAUGAGUAGCGAUAAUUAAUGUGAGAAUCAUUAACGCCGUAAACCCAAGGUUUCCUACGCGAUGCUCGUCAUCGUAGGGUUAGUCGGGUCCUAAGUCGAGUCCGAAAGGGGUAGACGAUGGCAAAUUGGUUAAUAUUCCAAUACCAACAUUAGUGUGCGAUGGAAGGACGCUUAGGGCUAAGGGGGCUAGCGGAUGGAAGUGCU